rnacentral:lncRNA from 1 species
AUGAGAUUUCUAACAUGCCAUACUAUUCCUGUCAUUCCUUUUCUCAGAACCCUUCAAGAACAUCUCAAACACUGUGGAAUAAGCUGCAGUCAUGUCAUUAAUACAACUUCUGAUCCACACCUCACGCUCCUUUUAUUCAAAGAAGCUACCCAGUUGUUACCUACUUCAAGAUGAAAGCUCAAUUUUCCUACAUAAUUGAGAAUUUGAAAUUUGGGCAAGAAUCACAUCUGUACUGAAAUAAAUUAUCUGUGUUUGGUAAGUAGGGGAGAAAACACUUGAUAAAUAUUUCUUAUCUGCAGCAAAUUCUUAUGUUUAUGUUUUAUCUUUGAUCUCCUUGAAGACUUUUCAGAAAUUUUCUAAACACUUGAUUGUGUUGUCCAAGCUGCUUUAUAUUUUUGUGCUUACUUUUAUGAAUAUAAAUAUAAUCUACUCUACUCAAAACCAAGCAGUCUGAUUUUCUGUCAUUCUUUUUUACCUUUUCUUUUUUCUUUUAUUUUAGGUUUGGAGGUAUAUGUAAAGGUUUAUUACAUAGGUAAAAAUGUGCUAUGGGAUACCUGGUUAGCCACAUCUUAUUUCAUCACCCUUGUAUUGAGCCCAGUACCCCAUAGUUACCUUUUCUGCUCCUCUUCCUCCUUCUACCCUUCUCACUCUUCCAACCUUCCCCCUGAAGAAGACCCCAGCAUCUGAUGUUUCCUUCUUUGUGUUCAUAAGUUCUUAUCAUUUUGCUCCUACUUAUAAGUGAAAACAUGUGGUAUUUGAUUUUUCUGAUCCUGCAUUAGUUUGCUAAGGAUAAUAGCCCCAGCUUCAUCCAUGUUCCCACAAAAGACAUGAUCUCAUUCUUUUUUAUGGCUGCCUAGUAUUCCAUGGUGUAGACAUACCACAUUUCAAUUAUCCAAUCUGCCUUUGAUAGGUAUUAGGAUGAUUCCAUAUAUUUGCCAUUGUGAUUAGUGCUUCAGUUAACAUUUGUGUGUAUGCAUCUUUAUGGUAGAAUAAUUUAUAUUCUUCUGGAUAUAUACCCAGUAAUGGGGUUGCUGGAUCAAAUAAUAGUUCUGCUUUUAGCUCUUCAGAAAUUGCUAUACUGUUUUCUACAAUGGUUGAACUAACUGGCAGUCUCACCAGCAGUGUAUUAUGUUCCCUUUUCUCAGCAACUUCACUGGCAUUUGUUAUUUUUCUGACUUUUUACUAAUAGCCAUUCUGACUAGUGUGAGAUGGUAUCUCAUUGUAUUUUAGACGUGCAUUUCUCUAAUGAUGAGUGGUGUUAAGCUUUUUAUUCAUAUGCUUGUUGGCCGCAUGCAUGUCUUCUUUUGAACAGUAUCUGUUUAUGUCCUUCCCACUUUUUAUUGGGGUUGUUUGUCUUUUUAACCUCUUGUAAAUUUGUUAAGUUCCUUAUAGAUGCUGAACAUUAGACUUUGUCAGAUACAUAGUGUGCCAAAAUUUUCUCCUAUUCUGUAGGUUGUCUGUUUACUCUGAUAGUUUCUUUUACUGUGAAAAAGCUCUUAAGUUUAAUUAAAUCCCACUUGUCAAUUUUUCCUUUGUUUUGCAA